rnacentral:rRNA from 1 species
CCUACGGGAGGCAGCAGUAGGGAAUAUUGGGCAAUGGACGCAAGUCUGACCCAGCCAUGCCGCGUGCAGGAAGAAGGCGUUAUGCGUUGUAAACUGCUUUUAUACAGGAAGAAACGACUCUUGCGAGAGGCAUUGACGGUACUGUAUGAAUAAGCACCGGCUAACUCCGUGCCAGCAGCCGCGGUAAUACGGAGGGUGCAAGCGUUGUCCGGAUUUAUUGGGUUUAAAGGGUGCGCAGGUGGUUUAUUAAGUCAGUGGUGAAAGACGGUCGCUCAACGAUUGCAGUGCCAUUGAAACUGGUAGACUUGAGUAAAGUAGAGGUGGGCGGAAUUGAUAGUGUAGCGGUGAAAUGCAUAGAUAUUAUCAAGAACUCCAAUUGCGAAGGCAGCUCACUUGGCUUUUACUGACACUCAUGCACGAAAGUGUGGGUAUCAAACAGGAUUAGAUACCCUGGUAGUCCACACUGUAAACGAUGAUAACUAGGUGUCGGCCGAAUCUGGUCGGUGCCACAGCGAAAAGCGUUAAAGUUAUCCACCUGGGGAGUACGCCGGCAACGGUGAAACUCAAAGGAAAUUGACGGCGNGAGAGNGCGACGGACGACGACGAGGGAGGAGG